rnacentral:rRNA from 1 species
AGGACGAACGCUGGCGGCGUGCUUAACACAUGCAAGUCGAACGAUGAAGCCCUUCGGGGUGGAUUAGUGGCGAACGGGUGAGUAACACGUGGGCAAUCCUGCCCUUCACUCUGGGACAAGCCCUGAAACGGGGUCUAAUACCGGAUAUGACCAUCUUGGGCAUCCUUGAUGGUGUAAAGCUCCGGCGGUGAAGGAUGAGCCCGCGGCCUAUCAGCUUGUUGGUGAGGGUAAUGGGCUCGACCCAAAGGCGACGACCGGGUAGCCGGCCUGAGAGGGCGACCGGCCACACUGGGACUGAGACACGGCCCAGACUCCUACGGGAGGCAGCAGUGGGGAAUAUUGCACAAUGGGCGCAAGCCUGAUGCAAGCGACGCCGCGUGAGGGAUGACGGCCUUCGGGUUGUAAACCUCUUUCGGCAGGGAAGAAGCGCAAGUGACGGUACCUGCAGAAGAAGCGCCGGCUAACUACGUGCCAGCCGCGGC